UUAAAUUGAAGAGUUUGAUCAUGGCUCAGAUUGAACGCUGGCGGCAGGCCUAACACAUGCAAGUCGAACGGUAACAGGAAGCAGCUUGCUGCUUCGCUGACGAGUGGCGGACGGGUGAGUAAUGUCUGGGAAACUGCCUGAUGGAGGGGGAUAACUACUGGAAACGGUGGCUAAUACCGCAUAACGUCGCAAGACCAAAGAGGGGGACCUUCGGGCCUCUUGCCAUCAGAUGUGCCCAGAUGGGAUUAGCUGGUUGGUGAGGUAACGGCUCACCAAGGCGACGAUCCCUAGCUGGUCUGAGAGGAUGACCAGCCACACUGGAACUGAGACACGGUCCAGACUCCUACGGGAGGCAGCAGUGGGGAAUAUUGCACAAUGGGCGCAAGCCUGAUGCAGCCAUGCCGCGUGUAUGAAGAAGGCCUUCGGGUUGUAAAGUACUUUCAGCGGGGAGGAAGGUGUUGUGGUUAAUAACCGCAGCAAUUGACGUUACCCGCAGAAGAAGCACCGGCUAACUCCGUGCCAGCAGCCGCGGUAAUACGGAGGGUGCAAGCGUUAAUCGGAAUUACUGGGCGUAAAGCGCACGCAGGCGGUCUGUCAAGUCGGAUGUGAAAUCCCCGGGCUCAACCUGGGAACUGCAUUCGAAACUGGCAGGCUUGAGUCUUGUAGAGGGGGGUAGAAUUCCAGGUGUAGCGGUGAAAUGCGUAGAGAUCUGGAGGAAUACCGGUGGCGAAGGCGGCCCCCUGGACAAAGACUGACGCUCAGGUGCGAAAGCGUGGGGAGCAAACAGGAUUAGAUACCCUGGUAGUCCACGCCGUAAACGAUGUCUACUUGGAGGUUGUGCCCUUGAGGCGUGGCUUCCGGAGCUAACGCGUUAAGUAGACCGCCUGGGGAGUACGGCCGCAAGGUUAAAACUCAAAUGAAUUGACGGGGGCCCGCACAAGCGGUGGAGCAUGUGGUUUAAUUCGAUGCAACGCGAAGAACCUUACCUGGUCUUGACAUCCACGGAAGUUUUCAGAGAUGAGAAUGUGCCUUCGGGAACCGUGAGACAGGUGCUGCAUGGCUGUCGUCAGCUCGUGUUGUGAAAUGUUGGGUUAAGUCCCGCAACGAGCGCAACCCUUAUCCUUUGUUGCCAGCGGUCCGGCCGGGAACUCAAAGGAGACUGCCAGUGAUAAACUGGAGGAAGGUGGGGAUGACGUCAAGUCAUCAUGGCCCUUACGACCAGGGCUACACACGUGCUACAAUGGCGCAUACAAAGAGAAGCGACCUCGCGAGAGCAAGCGGACCUCAUAAAGUGCGUCGUAGUCCGGAUUGGAGUCUGCAACUCGACUCCAUGAAGUCGGAAUCGCUAGUAAUCGUGGAUCAGAAUGCCACGGUGAAUACGUUCCCGGGCCUUGUACACACCGCCCGUCACACCAUGGGAGUGGGUUGCAAAAGAAGUAGGUAGCUUAACCUUCGGGAGGGCGCUUACCACUUUGUGAUUCAUGACUGGGGUGAAGUCGUAACAAGGUAACCGUAGGGGAACCUGCGGUUGGAUCACCUCCUUACCUUAAAGAA
rnacentral:rRNA from 1 species